rnacentral:rRNA from 1 species
UUAGUCCUACGGGGGGCAGCAGUCGGGAAUAUUGCACAAUGGAGGAAACUCUGAUGCAGUGACACCGCGUAUAGGAAGAAGGUUUUCGGAUUGUAAACUAUUUUAGACAGGGAAGAAAAAAGACAGUACCUGUAGAAUAAGCUCCGGCUAACUCCGUGCCAGCAGCCGCGGUAAUACGGAGGAUGCGAGCGUUAUCCGGAUUUAUUGGGUUUAAAGGGUGCGUAGGCGGACAGUCAAGUCAGCGGUAAAAAUGCGGUGCUCAACGCCGUAAAGCCGUUGAAACUGGCAGUCUUGAGUGGGCGAGA